rnacentral:rRNA from 1 species
GACGAACGCUGGCGGCGUGCUAAACACAUGCAAGUCGAACGAUGAACCCGGAGCUUGCUCCGGUGGAUUAGUGGCGAACGGGUGAGUAACACGUGAGUAACCUGCCCUUGACUCUGGGAUAACUGCGGGAAACUGUAGCUAAUACCGGAUACGACCCUCGGCGGCAUCGCCAGGGGGUGGAAAGAAUUCCGGUCAAGGAUGGACUCGCGGCCUAUCAGCUAGUUGGUGAGGUAACGGCUCACCAAGGCGACGACGGGUAGCCGGCCUGAGAGGGUGACCGGCCACACUGGGACUGAGACACGGCCCAGACUCCUACGGGAGGCAGCAGUGGGGAAUAUUGCACAAUGGGCGCGAGCCUGAUGCAGCAACGCCGCGUGAGGGAUGACGGCCUUCGGGUUGUAAACCUCUUUUAGUAGGGAAGAAGCGAAAGUGACGGUGCCUGCAGAAAAAGCACCGGCUAACUACGUGCCAGCCGCCGCCGUAA